GGCGAGUAAUCUCCAUUAUCGUGGUCUCUCUCGUAUAUGAGAAUCUUCAGCUGGACGUCCGCGAGGAUAAUGUUUACAAGACUGCUGUGUGUACAGGUUAAGAGAAAUGAACGAUCGUCGAACUAUUAUCGAUCGAAAAUUCUCUAGUGUGCGACUGUAAAUUCGCGUAUGUACGCGAUACGAUAGAAAAAUUCCACAUCUUGUGGAAAUCGUCCGGUAUUCGAGUGUAACGUGGCGAAAGUCGAUACGAGAACACUUCGUUUACGGACCACUGGGUUGUCCAAUCGAACAGUGAACUUCUAACCUAAGUUUCCCAUUUACUGAAAUAUUCUGACGGUGGACUGCGCUUGGUCGUUUCGAAUUUCUCUUUUCGAUCGUGUACGAGGGCAAAUAAUCUUGCGAUUUAUUUAGAAAAAAAAUUCUUCGGAUAUGUGUUUAUCUCUGAAUUGAUUAAAAUUAUAGAUAUUAAAAAAAGGAGAAUCAGUCAUUGAUGGCGAAAUAAAUUUAGUGUAAGAAAAGUGUAGUUGAAUAACUAAGAAUAUGAUAUUAUUAUUCGGAUAAAUAGAGUAAAUUAUUAUAGUUAUACGUGAAAUAAGAGAGGCCAUUUUCUUUUAAUUUUUUUUCUUAUUAUACUAUUGAAGAAUAGGGGGAAAAAAAGGGAAACGCAAUCAAAAGAGCACACGAAACACGUAAUUAAAUCUGUAAAACAUCGUUGUAAAACGCGUUGGGAGUAAAGAUGGUAAAUUAAAGAGUUGUCGUAUAAUAAAACAAAGCAUCCGGCUUAAUUUCGCUUUUGUCCUCAAUUUUCUCUGCUUCAUGUGCAUCACCCUAGACUGUUGAAAAUAUCGGGUAUAAAAAGCAUUCGUAGCUAGCACGUUGCAAUUACGCCGCGAUUCCAUUCAGGGUACGAGAGAUCGUAGUCAAAGAUAGUGGUGUUCGAUUGAAAUUACACGGGUGGCGUUUAAAGCUUACGACCAUUUUUACACUGUAAGUGUCGGAAUUUAUAGCGACGACCUAUUACACGAGCUUAUCCACUAGCAAUUAUGGGAGCAAUUAACGAACGAAUUUUGCCCAUUUAUUUAAAUUAACUUACCAUCGGUUGAUAAUAUAAUUCGUAAAAAAACUUUAUUGUUAUUCCACAACCAGGGGGUGAAUUUACGAAGGAAACAAAAAAGACGCGUAAACGCGUUGUUGUUAUUUCAUUUCUCUCCGAUUGAAAUGAUUGAAAACGGGGAAAUAAUUACGAAGGGAUACAAAAUAUCAAUUCGAAAAUGGAGGGGAAGAAAAUUAACGAGAACACGGGAGCAUCGUUCUUAACUUAAUAUUCCUAAUGGAGUUCGAAAAUUAACGAAAUAUCAUGGGCGAUCGAUCAAAGCGGCGUGCAUACGUAUUUAUUUCCUUUUUUUUUUUUUUUUUUUUUUUUUUUUUUAUUAAUACGAGAUUAUUUUGUAUCUUUCGCGUUUAAAUUUCACCGGGAAAUCGGCAUCGCGCCGAUUUACAGCUGUAAUUUCAAACAGAAUUUUGAUUGGAAAUGAAAGUGUUUACGCUUUGGUUAUAUAUUCUUGGCACGGGAACGAGAUAAAAUAAUUUUAUUAGCUUUUAGUAGUUUAUAUUGCUUUAAUAAAUAGCCCGAUAAAUUGUCGCGUAAAAUAUCAGCUUGGAUACACAUCCGUUAAUUGUGCAAUAUUAUUCCUUUCAUUUAUUGGUAUUAUUCAAACUUUUGCAUUUACGAUAAAAAUAAUUUCACGUUACGUUCGUUCAGAAAUUCAUUUCCUUUCCGUGCAUAACUUCUCACGCGAAAUGAACACACGCGCGCGUAUUUUUGUUUCCCGGAAUUAUUCACAAAUAAUCCUUUCGAGGAACUAAUCCUCCACCCUGGUGACUCAUCAGAAUCGCAAAGAAAUCUCUUGUCGCGAUUCAAAUUAAUUUCCAAGAUUAAAGCUGCCGGUAUCCCGUGGCUCUCGCGUGGCGCGCGCCUCGUAAACAAGAUGGUGCACGCGGCAACUCGACUCGAGCGCGCGCGCGCGCGCUCACGUGCAAGAAAAUCAUCCAACGGCGUUGUAACACUGCGUCGCAAGUUGACCUCGUCCCAAGUUUGCCUCGAGACCGAGAUAAUUGUCGAUAUUAAUUAAGGGGUAAUGGAAUAGAACAAAAGUGACAAGAAAAUCAUGGACCAAAGUGGAAUAAACCAAUUAUCAGUAGAUAAAAUAAGUAAACCAGAUAUGGAACAAGACAAUCAUUAUCAGUCGAAUAUAAUGAAUAGAAUAAGAAAUCCACAGAGAAAAGUAUGAUAAUCCAAUCAUGGAUAAAGAAUAGGACAAUUGUCAUCAAGAUAAUAACAAAGAGGAUAAAAAGAGGAAUUUUUUCAGACUCAUCUUUUCAAGCGUGCAUUUAUGAAUCGUCCUAUACACCAUCCACCGCACACAAAGGCGCAUACGUAGAGGCACAGCUUGAUUCAAACACUUACACACGAACACGUGACAGAGGAAGGACGAUAUAGACAACAAACGGGGAAGGGCGUAGAGAGAGAGUAACAGUUACGGCAUACGGUAACGCGCCAGUAUUGACAAACAUCUUCAUUAGCUGCCGCUGCUGCUUGUGCGCUAUCUGCCUACAAACGACCUAUAUAUACGCCCUCCUCGCCGCUACUCCACCUGCGUCGUUGGCCGCAUACCACCAAUACCUUCAGACACGCCACCGAUUCCGAGCCAAGAUUGCCGUUUGAUUCGAAUUAAAACGACACGUUCAGGUGAUGGCCACGUAUGCGACUCAUACUCGAAGUCAGUUUGGUUACGGUUGGUUUCUCUCUCUGUUGUCUCCGUGGGAAAAGUUCGACCCAUGUUUGGAUAUGAGUUACGGUCGAAAUUUCUGCGUUUCGUGUACGAUGGUGUACGGUGAUUACUUGGCCAUGGAGUUUCCUAAAUACUUGUCAUUCACACUUAAUGCUUAGGGGGGGCGCUCGCAUCGGACGUGUUUAGUGGAAAGUUUAGUUCUAGUGAAUCUGGGGAUAUGCAUUGUUGGUACGAAUUGAAUUAUUAAGUUAUCGCCUUUCCUCAGUUUAGAGAAAAACUAGGCGAUAUUUAAUGAAGUGUUGAAGUAUAAUUUAAAUUAUUAAUUUACUGUGAGAUGUAUGAUUAUAUAAUUAUAGUUACGAAAAAGGAGAAUAGGAAGUUUUAUUAAUAUUUUAAAAUUAACAAGAUUGUAGAAUUAAAAUUUUUCAGAAGAAGAAAUGUUCAAAAGAAAACGUGAUUAUGAAAACAAUACGUAUUAUUUUAUUCAAAGAAUAAUUUGUUUUAACGAUGGAUUGACAAGAACAAUAAAGAGCCACAAAUAUUCCAUAGCUUGAAAUAUGUAGGAAAUAUGUCCCAAAUAAUUAUCAACAAAAAGAAGAUAUUUAAAUCCAUUCGUGUUAUUAAAUUUUCCAUUAUCGAAACAACUUCCAUUCAAAAAUUUUCCAUGCACGUCGAUAAUUUCGUUCGAACAUCUCGAAUAAUGAUGCAUCUGACAAACCUGUCCCCUGUAAAAUUUAUCCAGGUAUUCGACGAUAAAGUGGAAAUAGUGUAGUAGAAUCCAUAGAUUUUCCCCCAGGCAAAAAAAAAAAGAUACAAGAAUCAGCUCGAUUGUAAUUCGGCGUAGUUUACGAACACAGAUUAAAUGGACGAAUCGUUCACAUCCAAAAGAGAGAGAAAGAGAGAGAGAGAAAGAGGAUUAGUGCACGCGGCCAAGUAAUGAGCGAAAAGCCGUAGUAUUUAACGAGCUCUUAAUUCGUGGACUUUGUGACUCUGAAUUUCUCUUCGAACGAAGCGAAACAAUCGCGCCGAAUCGGAUAAGCUAAUGAAGUUUCGAUAUUCUUGUAAAGCGAGAAUACCGUUUCUUCAAAAAAUCUUUUCGAGAGAAGACUUUUCAAAGAGAUUCCUUCAACGGAGAAGAAAGCUGAACUCUAUCGCCAUUAAAAAACGUGGCUUCUUUUCGCAACCGAGUCGAUGUUUCUCCGUUUUCUUCAUUUUUUCUUCUCCUUCGUUUUCACGCUUUUUUCUCUUCGCGUUCAUUCAAAUUAUAAAUACUCUCUCGACGAAAAUCCGCUCGUUGGAAUAUCGAAAAUUCGUUAAUUAAACUGCAUGCCUAAAAGGCGAAUAGUUUGUUGACUGUUAAAUAUAAUACGAAGCGCGGGAAAAUUGAAAGGCGAUUUUAACGUCAUACGUGCGCUUUGAAAAUAUAAUUUUUUUUUUUCAGAAUAUAUAUUAAAAAUUGUUCAGUCUGAUUUUUUUCUUUUUUUUCCUUUUUUAAGGAAAAUUUACAUAUGCGAAUUUUUAGAGGAAAACUGACGACGUCGGAUAAAUGCGAUACAACUCGAAGCGAUUACAAGAACCGGUAAAUCAAUUUGUUGCGCGAGCAUCGUGUCGAAACAUGGUAAAUGGUUUUCUGUAUAUUUUGUACAGGCUACUUAUUCGCGAAUCUUUGCGAUGAUUUAUGAAUGAAAGUUUACUUUGUAAGCUAAACGAUGUGUGAGCGAUUAUA